CACACUUCCUUCCUCUUCGUGGUAUGGAAUUUUGCAGAAGAAACCAGACACUGCCUUUGGAGAUGGUGAAACUGAAGCCUAGAGAGGUGGUUAUUACCCAAGAUCAUAGAGAUUCUGUCUCCUCACCCUCCAAAACUGCAGAGGUACCUGCUGGCUAAUUACAAAGCAUGAGGAUGUCAUUUUCUGAACAGCCAUCAAAAUUCAGAAGCACACUGCUCUCCACCCCCAUCCUCCAAGCUUCCCCAACAUGUCACAAUCUAGGGAAAAACUUCAG